rnacentral:rRNA from 1 species
AUUGAACGCUGGCGGCAGGCUUAACACAUGCAAGUCGAACGAGUGGCGGACGGGUGAGUAAUGCUUGGGAAUCUGGCUUAUGGAGGGGGAUAACGACGGGAAACUGUCGCUAAUACCGCAUACCAUGGUAUGAGCCCAAUGGGGAUUAGGUAUUGGGUGGGGUAAUGGCCCACCAAGGCGACGAUCUCUAGCUGGUCUGAGAGGAUGACCAGCCACACCGGGACUGAGACACGGCCCGGACUCCUACGGGAGGCAGCAGUGGGGAAUAUUGCGCAAUGGGGGCAAGCUGAUGCAGCCAUGCCGCGUGUAUGAAGAAGGCCUUCGGGUUGUAAAGUUCUUUCGGUGACGAGGCGUUAAUCACAGAAGAAGCACCGGCUAACUCCGUGCCAGCAGCCGCGGUAAUAC